UCUGCUGCUCUCCUUGAACAUUAUGGAAAUCUGUUUAUGAACUCAUAUAACAUGCUAUCCUUGCUUUAAUAUAGGUCCUGGAUCGUGGGGAAAGAAUCGAACUUCUAGUGGACAAGACAGAAAACCUACAAUUUCAGGCUGACAGCUUCCAGAGGCAAGGUAGGCAGUUACGGCGGAAGAUGUGGCUGCAGAAUCUUCAAAUGAAGCUGAUGGUAGGAGGAGCAAUCCUUGUUAUGAUCCUCAUAGUAUGGUUCCUUGUAUGUGGUGGCUUCAAAUGUUAAGGGGGCAGCUAAAAUUGUAACUGAUAGCAUUCUGUUUGUUUUUUAUUGCCCAAUGCUAUGAACUAUUUCUGUACAAAGGAGUGUCUCUUCUUGUUUAAGGAGACCGUGUCAAAUCAUAGCCUUGCAAAUCAGUUCAAGCCUGAUAAUGGUUUUGUUGAUAUAAUAUUUCUGAAUGCAGAUACUGAUAUUACAGGUGCUUGUUCUUGUAAUCAAUGGAUGCUUAUUUGCAGGCUCCGGAUUAUUUUACUUUCUACAAUCUGUCAAUUUUACACGGACCUUGGAGUUUGUCA